rnacentral:rRNA from 1 species
UACGGAGGGUGCAAGCGUUGUCCGGAUUUAUUGGGUUUAAAGGGUGCGUAGGCGGCCCGUUAAGUCAGCGGUGAAAUCCCAGGGCUCAACCCUGGAACUGCCGUUGAUACUGGCGGGCUUGAGUUUGGUCGAGGCGGGCGGAACUGGUGGUGUAGCGGUGAAAUGCAUAGAUACCACCAAGAACCCCGAUUGCGUAGGCAGCUCGCUAGGCCAAAACUGACGCUGAGGCACGAAAGCGUGGGGAGCGAACAGG